rnacentral:rRNA from 1 species
GACGAACGCUGGCGGCGUGCCUAAUACAUGCAAGUCGAACGAAGCUUUUUUAACUGGUGCUUGCACCGACUUAAACAACUGGGUGGCGAACGGGUGAGUAACACGUGGGUAACCUGCCCCAAAGCGGGGGAUAACAUCUGGAAACAGAUGCUAAUACCGCAUAACCACAGAAACCACAUGGUUUCUGUGUCAAAGAUGGUUUCGGCUAUCACUUUGGGAUGGACGCGCGGCGUAUUAGCUAGUUGGUAAGGUAAUGGCUUACCAAGGCAAUGAUACGUAGCCGAACUGAGAGGUUGAUCGGCCACAUUGGGACUGGGACACGGCCCAAACUCCUACGGGAGGCAGCAGUAGGGAAUCUUCCACAAUGGACGAAAGUCUGAUGGAGCAACGCCGCGUGAGUGAAGAAGGUUUUCGGAUCGUAAAACUCUGUUGUCAGAGAAGAACGUGUGCGAGAGUAACUGUUCGUGCAGUGACGGUAUCUGGCCAGAAAGCCACGGCUAACUACGUGCCAGCAGCCGCCGUAA